rnacentral:piRNA from 1 species
UGAAAGAUGGUUUUGGCUUUGCCGACGGC